rnacentral:lncRNA from 1 species
GGCGUUGGUUGUUUUUUCUGAUGAGCGGCUGGUGUGGCGACACAGAGAGAGAGGGACGAUCAUUCGCCUUGUCGAGGAGGAGAUUCCUGAGUUUGGGAAGGGAAUUGGCACUGGAUGUGGGUGGUUUCACAUGCCAGUGGGAGGACUGUUUGGGUUUCUUAUUGGGCUGGGACUUGGAAUAGUUGAUUUGGGUUUUUGUGAUCUAAUGUGUUUGAUGAAAUGUUGGAUGAGCUGAUUUUGUCAAAUAUCUUAUGUUUGUUUGGUGGGAACUUAAAAAGUUUCUAGUGGUUUGUGCUUCAUUGAAAUUUUCUUAUGGGUGUUUGGAUUAUAGUUUCUUGUGAUUGAUUGGAGUAAGUUAUAUAUGGAUUGAAAUUUCUUGUGGCGUUUGUGAGGGAUAUGAUAAUUUAUCCAAAAAAAAGUAAAAUUUAAUAUUUUUAAAUACAUUAAUAUUUAAAGAGUAAAUUUUUAUUUUAAUCAUUUAAAAUAUUAAGUAAUAUGUAUUUUAUUUAAUUAAAGAAAAUUAUAUUUAAUUAUUAAUAACUAAUUAAUAAAAGUGGGUGUAAUUUGUCUUUUUACAUGUCUUCCAUAGUAUCCAACUUUUAAAUUUAUUUUCCAAAAAACAAAUCAAACACCAAAUUAUAAAAUCAAUCCUUCUUAAAGGUGGGCCCCCGAUUAUAAAUCAUCAUCAUUUAAAAUCCACCAUCAAUCUCCUCUCAAUUUAAAUCCCCCAAAUAUCUCUUGUUUGCCAACGGCUGACUAUUGUGUUCUUUGCGUGAGUUGACGAGACUAUCAAGUAUCUCUCUCUGUCUCGUACAUUCUUAUGAGAGGUGUAAAAGAGUGAUAGUAGCGGACUCGUACAAAAGCUAGCAUGAUGCCGUAGGGAGGUUAUAAAGAUAUUGGGAAAAUUAAAAAAAAAAGGAUAAAUGAUACUAACCUUCCCUGAGAUUUCAGGUUAAUAUACAAAGCACCCUUGGCGUUUAAAAUUUUACAAUGACAUCCCCUAACAUUUUGAUUUAUGUCACUGACCACCCCUGUCAGAUUUUAUCCUCCACUAUUGCUUGUAAAAUUACUAAUUUGCCCUUACACAUAUUAGACAAUUACUCUCUCUCCUCACCUCUCCUCUCUUUCCUUUUUUUUUUUUAGCUUUUUUUAGUUUUGUUUCUUUUUCUUAUUAGUUUUUUUAAUAAAUUUUUUUAUCAAUUUUAUUUAUUUUUAAAAAACAAGCUUUUUUUUAAAAUUAACCAUUUUUCUGAACAAAAUAAUUUUUUAAAAAUAUUUAAUUUAAAAAAAUAGAUAACAAAAACCGAUUUUGAAAUAAUACUUUAUUGAAAAAACUGUUUUCAGAAAAUUAAUCGUUUUACUUUUCUAGUAUUUAUUUAUAUUUUUUUCAAUAAUAUUAAAAUAUUGUUUAGUAAUAAUAGUGCUUUUUUAACUAUUUUGAUUAAAAUUUAAAUUUUUUUAUUUCUUUAAUGAGAUAAGACUUUAAAAUAAUUUUUUUAUUUAAUUUUUUAAAAAUAAUGUAGAAAAAUUAGUAUUUUUAAAAAAAACUAUUAUUAGGUAAAAAAAUAACUUUAGUUUUAUAAAAGAAAAACUGCUAUAAUUUUUAAAAAUUUCUCAAUAAAAUAUAUUUUUAAAUUUUUUUUUCUAAUUAUUUUUUGUUUUUUUUUUUUUAUUCGAUUUAAUGAUUUUAAAAAAAAUUCCAGUUAAAAAAAAAACUAAGAAAAAAAAAGAAGAAAAAAGAAAAAACGAAAAAAAAACGAAAGAGAGAGGGAGGGAUGAGAGAGAGAGAGAGAAAAUUGUCCUAUAGGUUGUGGGAGGGCAAAUUAGUAAUUUUACAGCAUAGUGAGGGACAAAAUCGAAAGAGGGGGUCAGUGACAAAAUCGAAACCUCAUGGGAUAUUAUUAUAAUCUAAAAAUCACAGGGAAGGGUCAGUGUAAUUUAUCCAAAAAAAAUGUUGACCUCAAUAAGAAUUAAAUUUAUAGUUUAAUACAUCAAAUUAAAAUUAAAUACUAACUAAUUCUUAUAAAAAAAAUAAAAAUAUAACUUAUUUCAACGUGAUCAAUCUGUAAACGAUGCAACUAAAGCACAUUUUUCACCAAAAAUUAAAAAAAUAAUUUUAACAUUUAACUUAAAAAUUAGUCAUAGUUUCAUCAAAGAAGGUUUUAAAGGGUGAUAACUUUCAAAUAUAUCGUUUUUUUAAGAAAAACUACCAAAAAAAUUUUCCAAUUUUUAAUUGGUCAGCCUAAUGAAACAGUGAUUGAUAAAGGUUUUUAAUUGUUUCAAGAUCAAAACUUUAGCUAAUUUCUAAAAGGAUUUUUUAACAAAAUAAUUUUUUAUAAAUGUUAGCUAAUUGUUUUUCUUACAAAAAUAUCAAAUGUGUAAUGUAUAUAAAAAUUAAAACUGUAAAGUUUAAUUUGUUAUUGAUGUCAAACCUAAGUUAUUUUUUUUUUAACAAAAUAAAUUUUUGUACGUGUAUUCUAAUUGCUUUUCUUAAAAAAUA